UACGGAGGGCGCAAGCGUUGCCCGGAAUUACUGGGCGUAAAGGGCGCGUAGGCGGACAGUUUAGUCAGAGGUGAAAGCCCAGGGCUCAACCUUGGAAUUGCCUUUGAUACUGGCUGUCUUGAGUUCGGGAGAGGUGAGUGGAAUGCCGAGUGUAGAGGUGAAAUUCGUAGAUAUUCGGCGGAACACCAGUGGCGAAGGCGACUCACUGGCCCGAUACUGACGCUGAGGCGCGAAAGCGUGGGGAGCAAACAGG
rnacentral:rRNA from 1 species